rnacentral:misc_RNA from 1 species
AUGGUUUGGUAACUCUGUAAUAAAUUAAUCAAUAAAUGAGAUCCAAGCUAAAUAAAAUGUAUAGGCUUUAGCUAAAAUGGAAGAUACAUAAAGCUACCCUCUUUACUGAUGGAUGAAAGAGUAUAAGACAAUAAGGAGAGAUGAUAAAAACUCUCUGGCUAAGAUGAUAUGUUAAAGCAGAACAAUUUUGCCUUAUGGUAUGUUAAGGGAAACGUGAUGCCAUAAGCUAAGUCAUACAAUAAGUGCAGCUGUAUACCUAGUUUCAAUUUCAAAAGCAAUUCUAUUCCUAGACGGCCACUAGGUCCUCAUAUUGAAAUACUAAGG